CCCUCCCCCAGAGGCUUUGCAGGUAUAGCUGCUAUGUCACAUAUGCACCAGUAGGUGGCAGAGAGGAGACAGGCCAUGUCUACACUCAGUGUUUUGACCUGUGAGCAUCUGAAUGAUUAGUCAUCUAAACU